rnacentral:rRNA from 1 species
UAGCCGUAAACGAUACUCGCUAGGUGUCGGCCACGGUGCGACCGUUGUCGGUGCCGUAGGGAAGCCGUGAAGCGAGCCACCUGGGAAGUACGGCCGCAAGGCUGAAACUUAAAGGAAUUGGCGGGGGAGCACCACAACGGGUGGAGCUUGCGGUUUAAUUGGAUUCAACGCCGGAAAUCUUACCGGGACCGACAGCAACAUGAAGGCCAGGCUGAAGACUUUGCCGGAUUAGCUGAGAGGAGGUGCAUGGCGGUCAGUGACU